GAAAGAAGAAGAGAAAGUGGAGUGAUAGAGGCUCUCGGGUGUAAGGGAGAGCAACAACGCCAUCCACCUUUGGACGACCGUUUCGAUGGACAAACGAGCUUAUUUUCACAUGUAAUUUUGAGGGAAAGUUCUACUCGACACGAUGAACAUUUCUACUAUGGCUGAUUUCGUUUUCAACAGUCAAAUUGUUGGAUUUGUGGUAGGGAAACUUAACCCUAAAACUUUUAUCUAAUGCACUUUUUUUAAAAAAAAAUUUAUAAAUCUUGUUGUUGGAAGGUAAAUAAGUAAUAUUUAUGAUGUGAGAACAUUUAUUGGGUGAUUUAGGAAUUUUCCUUGGGAUUUUUGUGUGAUAAUGGAAGUGUUUAAUUAUAGAAAAUAAUUGUGUUUGAUUAUUGGAAUUAUUGGGAUUAUUGAGAAAUAAUGGAAUAUUGGUGGAAAUUAUGCUUAAGUGAUGUUUGAAUUAUUGGAAAUUUAUUUGGUUGUUUUUGGUAAUUCUAUUGUGGAGUAAAUAAUUAUAUUUAAUUAUUGAAAUUAUUGGGGUUGUGGAAAAAUUAUGGAAUUUUGGUAUAUAUUAUGUUCAAUUGAGAUUUGAAUUAUUGAAAAUUUAUUUGGUUGUUUUGGUAAUUUUGUAGUGGAGAAAAUAAUUAUAUUUGAUUAUUGGAAUUGUUGGGAUUGUUGGAAAAUUACGGAAUUUUGGUAUGAUUGUAAUUUCAAUGAUAUUUGGACUAGUUGGAGUUUAAUUUGAUGUUGUGAUAUUUGUGAAUGAGGAUAAUUAACCUCAUUGCAUUUCAUUUGCAUCAUGGUUGUGUGAAGGAAAAAUAAAAACUGUGAAAAGUGCAUGAAAUGGAAAAAAAAAGAAAAAAAUAAAAUAGUAAUGAAAAGUAAAGGCCCAUGUGAGGCAAAUUAAGAAGGGAAUGAGAUCCCUAGGGUGAAAGACCCAAAAAUCUACCUCCGAAGACUUCGAAUGGGGAGUGUAUUUGGGUACGGACGCAUAUUUUUCGGUGAAAGUCCGAGAAUGAUAGUGCAUUGUAUGACUGUGUGUUACAUAUCCACAUGCAUUUUAUUUAAUUAUUGAUUUUUUUCAUAAUUAUAGAAAUUAAAAUAUGUGGGUUGAUCAAUUUGAUGGAAUGUUUCUUUUGUGUUCACUUGAACUUGGUAAUCCCAAUUAACCCUUUGGUUGUAAGACACCCUACUGAGCAAUGUGGAAUGCUCACCCCUUCCUUCUUAUAUCGUUUUAGAUGCAGAUGUGACUUCUGAUGAUCCACAGAUGGGGCAGGGAGGGCUUCAGGAUGCCCCAGGAGAUUUUGGAGCAGCAUAGUGGAUUGUAGUGUAUUUGUUAUGUUGGCUUAUUUUGGAACUUGUAUUAGCAAACUUUGAAGUUAUAUAUUUGUAAUGAAAUUUUAUUCUAAUUAAUUUGCUGAACUGUGAACUCUUAUUUCUAGACUUUAAUAGUGAUAAUUAU
rnacentral:lncRNA from 1 species